GACGAACGCUGGCGGCGUGCUUAACACAUGCAAGUCGAACGGAAAGGCCCUGCUUGCAGGGUACUCGAGUGGCGAACGGGUGAGUAACACGUGGGUGAUCUGCCCUGCACUUCGGGAUAAGCCUGGGAAACUGGGUCUAAUACCGGAUAGGAGCCAUUUUUAGUGUGAUGGUUGGAAAGUUUUUUCGGUUUAGGAUGAGCUUGCGGCCUAUCAGCUUGUUGGUGGGGUAAUUGCCUACCAAGGCGGCGACGGGUAGCCGGCCUGAGAGGGUGGACGGCCACAUUGUGACUGAGAUACGGCCCAGACUCCUACGGGGGGCAGCAGUGGGGAAUAUUGCAAAAUGGGCGCAAGCCUGAUGCAGCGACGCCGCGUGGGGGAUGACGGCCUUCGGGUUGUAAACUCCGUUCGCUAGGGACGAAGCUUUUUGUGACGGUACCUAGAUAAGAAGCACCGGCUAACUACGUG
rnacentral:rRNA from 1 species